GCCUUGGUAGUGUGAUACGUCAGCAUAACAGACUGUACAUCUGUAGAUGCGAGUUCGAGUCCCGCCUGAGGUU
rnacentral:tRNA from 1 species